AACCUUUUGUGGUUCACAAGCACAGAGAUUGGGUUUUCACACUCGUGUGAGAUGUGCCUCUCUCAAACCUUAUUAUGACAUCAGCACAUUGCCUAUCUGAUG